UAUAUAUCCAUAUUUUCAUAUUUGUACUUUUUACUAAAUAAUAAUAAAAAAUGCCGUAUUUGCACUUGCGUGAACUUGGAGUUAAUAUAUUUCUAAGUUUUCAUUGCUUUCGAACUUUUGUUUCGCGAACUACUUAAAUUAUUCUGAAAUUCUGACUUUCAGUUAAGUUUUCCUUAAAAUUGAUCAGUCACCAUUUUCUCGGACUCGGGAUGCCUCGAACGGAAAUUCCGACGGCGCGUUUAACUGCGGUGCAUUUACGGCAAUUGCUCACAUUAUACGAAUUUUUCUGUUGGGAGAUUUUCCAAUUAGAGUCUGCGCCUGCGCGUGUGGUUCGUUUCGA
rnacentral:lncRNA from 1 species